rnacentral:rRNA from 1 species
AAUGAACGCUGGCGGCAGGCCUAAAACAUGCAAGUCGAACGCCCUAGCAAUAGGGAGUGGCGCACGGGUGAGUAACAUGUGGGAAUAUGCCUUUUGGUACGGAACAACGUUUGGAAACGAACGCUAAUACCGUAUGGUCCCUCCGGGGUAAAGAUUUAUCGCCAAAAGAUUAGCCCGCACUAGAUUAGCUAGUUGGUAAGGUAAUGGCUUACCAAGGCGACGAUCUAUAGCUGUUCUGAGAGGAAGAUCAGCCACACUGGGACUGAGACACGGCCCAGACUCCUACGGGAGGCAGCAGUUAGGAAUAUUGGCCAAUGGGGGCAAGCCUGAUCCAGCCAUGCCGCGUGAGUGAUGAAGGCCUUCGGGUUGUAAAGCUCUUUAGCCGACGAAUAUAAUGACUGUAGUCGGAGAAUAAGCCCCGGCUAACUUCGUGCCAGCAGCCGCCGUAAAAC